rnacentral:rRNA from 1 species
AGGACGAACGCUGGCGGCGUGCUUAACACAUGCAAGUCACGGGGGCUCGCAAGAGCAACCGGCGAACGGGUGCGUAACACGUGAGCAACCUACCGAUUUGUGGGGGAUAGCCGGCCUAACGGCCGGGUAAUACCGCAUACGCUCUCCGGGUCUCCUGACCUGGUGAGGAAACCUCCGGGGCAAAUCGAGGGGCUCGCGGCCUAUCAGCUAGUUGGCGAGGUCACGGCUCACCAAGGCGACGACGGGUAGCUGGUCUGGGAGAUGGCCAGCCACAUUGGACUGAGAAACGGCCAGACUCUACGGGAGCAGCAGUGGGAAUCUUGCGCGAAUGGGACGAAAGCCUAGACGCAGCGACG